rnacentral:rRNA from 1 species
CCUACGGGAGGCAGCAGUGGGGAAUUUUGGACAAUGGGGGCAACCCUGAUCCAGCCAUGCCGCGUGAGUGAAGAAGGCCUUCGGGUUGUAAAGCUCUUUCGCAAGGGAAGAAAACUUAGAUCCUAAUACGGUCUGAGGAUGACGGUACCUUGAUAAGAAGCACCGGCUAACUACGUGCCAGCAGCCGCGGUAAUACGUAGGGUGCGAGCGUUAAUCGGAAUUACUGGGCGUAAAGCGUGCGCAGGCGGUUUCGUAAGUCAGAUGUGAAAGCCCCGGGCUCAACCUGGGAACUGCGUUUGAAACUGCGAGGCUAGAGUGUGUCAGAGGGGGGUAGAAUUCCACGUGUAGCAGUGAAAUGCGUAGAGAUGUGGAGGAACACCGAUGGCGAAGGCAGCCCCCUGGGAUAACACUGACGCUCAUGCACGAAAGCGUGGGGAGCAAACAGGAUUAGAUACCCUGGUAGUCCACGCCCUAAACGAUGUCUACUAGUUGUUGGUGGAGUGAAAUCCAUUAGUAACGCAGCUAACGCGUGAAGUAGACCGCCUGGGGAGUACGGUCGCAAGAUUAAAACUCAAAUGAAUUGACGG